ensembl:lncRNA
CUCGCACGGCACCCAAUACAAAUUUAACUCGCACAGCCAAGUCAAAGGGUUGCAAAACGCCAUUAAAUGGUUUCAGUCUAGAGCCUUGCCCCUUGACAUACUGUAGCUAUAUUGUAAUCAGUUGUGUCAUAAGUAGUGGUCUGAUACUGUAGGUUGCAGCAAACCACUUAGCACUAUCAAUCAGUUAUUAACCUAUUUGAGCAACAAAGGAGACUGGUGGGAGGAACUAUAGGAGGAUGGGCAUUUUUGUAAUGUCUGAAAUGGAAUAAAUGGAACAUAUCAAACAUAUGGAAGCCACAUGUACCAGCUAAAGUUCCCUCCCACGGGGCCUGUCUAUAGUGAAUAGGAACUGAAAGGUGGAUUCGGAUAGGCAAAAUAUGGUCAUGUGAUCAAAAAGCUUUGGGAUCCAGAACUGUUAGACACACUAUUGACUCAAUCAUGUCUUUUGAUCACUCCACCAAUCAUUUUUUAUUCUACAGUACACAUUGUAAAACAUUUAACCAGCUCACCACCUCUGUCAGUGAAUUAUUGUUUGGAAAUGCACAUUUUAUAAAUCACUUCGUCUAGUUUUACCAGAUAACGUGUUAUCACUACCUACUUACCUACAGUACCUACAUGCCUACAGUACCUAACUACCUAUGUUCAGUCAAAUGUAGCAUUCAUGCCUCCUUCCCAAUGGACUGUUGACCUGAGUUGACGUUGACUUCCUUGACUAAGAGCUGUGUGCUUUCCUGACUACUAUUAGACAGGACCCUUGAACUGAACUAUGAACUACUGUGAUGAGCUGUGAUGUCAAGAUAUUUGAAUCACAAUGUCUCUCAAUGUUGACCAUUGCUUUUGCACAAUAACUUUAGGUGCAUAGGAUUCACAAUGUUAAUGGCAUAAUCAAAUGUCAAAUUUAAAUUACCACACGGCCCCAUUUAUAGUAGGGUACAUACUGUACUUGUAUAUAUAACAUGUGUAACACUGUGAAAACCUCUACCUACUUGUCCCUAAGAUGGCAGGUGGUUAAGAUGUCCCUAAGAUGACCUAGUAGUUAGCGGUUAUUUCUUAAAUAUACUUUACUGUUGUUAUUUCACAUUAAGGACCUUAUCUUAAUAACAUAAAACACAACAACGGUUUUUAUGAUGUGACCUUUUGUGUUUAAAUAUACUGUAAGUAUUAAAAUCCUAUUUUGGUGCCUC